rnacentral:rRNA from 1 species
AGUUUGAUCCUGGCUCAGGAUGAACGCUGGCGGCGUGCUUAACACAUGCAAGUCGAACGGUGAAGCAGAGCUUGCUCUGUGGAUCAGUGGCGAACGGGUGAGUAACACGUGAGCAAUCUGCCCCUGACUCUGGGAUAAGCGCUGGAAACGGCGUCUAAUACCGGAUACGAGCUGCGACCGCAUGGUCAGUAGCUGGAAAGAAUUUCGGUCAGGGAUGAGCUCGCGGCCUAUCAGCUUGUUGGUGAGGUAAUGGCUCACCAAGGCGUCGACGGGUAGCCGGCCUGAGAGGGUGACCGGCCACACUGGGACUGAGACACGGCCCAGACUCCUACGGGAGGCAGCAGUGGGGAAUAUUGCACAAUGGGCGCAAGCCUGAUGCAGCAACGCCGCGUGAGGGAUGACGGCCUUCGGGUUGUAAACCUCUUUUAGCAGGGAAGAAGCGAAAGUGACGGUACCUGCAGAAAAAGCGCCGGCUAACUACGUGCCAGCAGCCGCGGUAAUACGUAGGGCGCAAGCGUUAUCCGGAAUUAUUGGGCGUAAAGAGCUCGUAGGCGGUCUGUCGCGUCUGCUGUGAAAACCCGAGGCUCAACCUCGGGCCUGCAGUGGGUACGGGCAGACUAGAGUGCGGUAGGGGAGAUUGGAAUUCCUGGUGUAGCGGUGGAAUGCGCAGAUAUCAGGAGGAACACCGAUGGCGAAGGCAGAUCUCUGGGCCGUAACUGACGCUGAGGAGCGAAAGGGUGGGGAGCAAACAGGCUUAGAUACCCUGGUAGUCCACCCCGUAAACGUUGGGAACUAGUUGUGGGGUCCAUUCCACGGAUUCCGUGACGCAGCUAACGCAUUAA